rnacentral:rRNA from 1 species
UACGUAGGGUGCGAGCGUUGUCCGGAAUUAUUGGGCGUAAAGAGCUCGUAGGCGGUUUGUUGCGUCUGUCGUGAAAACCUGCAGCUUAACUGUGGGCUUGCGGUGGAUACGGGCAGACUUGAGUUCGGUAGGGGAGACUGGAAUUCCUGGUGUAGCGGUGAAAUGCGCAGAUAUCAGGAGGAACACCGGUGGCGAAGGCGGGUCUCUGGACAGUUCCUGACGCUGAGGCACGAAGGUCAGGGGAGCAAACGGG